rnacentral:lncRNA from 1 species
AAAAAUGAUUUUAUUGUCGAUAAUUUGAAGAAAUGACGUAAGAGACUGAGUGUUUAGAAAACUAUUUACGAUUAGUAAAUGUUACUCCCCCCUCGCGCGGCCAGUUUUUAUAUUCCAAUGUUGUCAGAGAUCUCAUCGUCGCAUUUGUAUACACAUUAACAUUCAUUGAUUUGACUUUGGUCUAGUAUACUGCGUAGUUUGUUACCUUCAUAGUUAUUGUCAGUCUUCUUCGAGCGUCGCGAGACGUAGGACCGAUAUUAGAAAAGUAUGAUGAAUUCAUUCGCGUAUACGUCGCGUGUUUUGUUGCUAUGCAAAUAAUAUGCAUAUGUGCGUGAGUGUGUGCGUGUACUAGUGACGAGUGGUGACUCGCAUACGUGUGUAUAUAUAUUAACAUCGUGUAUAUAAGAUAAAAUACAUCUAACGCGAUUAAUUAUUGAAAUUUUUAUUAUUUAUUAUAUAAUUAGAGUAUCGUUGUGCUGAUGCAGUGUUGUUGAUGGUGUAGUGUAGUGUUGUAUCUAGUGAGAGGAUAAGUGAGAUAAAAAAAUGGAUAAUCUAUCAAACAGGAAUACAUCUCAGCACGUUUUAAUACGUCUGGUCAGAAGCUGAGAAGAAUGACGAUUGAUAAUAGAAGGGAAAAAAUAUGACCGAGUUAAAGAAAAAAGGAAGAAACAAGAUGACGACAACGUCAUCGGUAAGAGGGGUCAGAGAGAUAAAGAGAGAAAAUGAGAUUGUAGGGUUGACCGUCGUCAACUGUACCAUAAUACCUGAAGUGGUAUUAUAAGAAUAGCCAGGAGUCUGUGCUCGUCGUUGGUGUCGUUUCUAGUAGCUCAGACUACUGCUUCCACGCGAAAAUAAGGCGAGCAAGAAGGAAGGAAGGAAGGAAGGAAGGAAAGAAGAAACAAGUCGAGUCAAAAACUUCUUUCGGAGUUUCUCGAAGAAUAUCGCUUAUGGCUUAUUCGAUCGUGAAAAUACAUCGGAGUCGUGUGACAUCGAUCGACUUUUUUCUAUGAUUGAUCGUUAGAAAGAAGAAAUCAAUUGUUCGGAAGAAAAAGGGGAAAGAUCAUACGAGCAAUAAAAAAAAAGUAAUUCACUUGUGGAAAUUUGUUCAACGAGUUUUAUCGACAGUAUCCACUAACCAGAAUCCUUCAACGUGUCUACCUCAUUGUCGGAAAAGUACUUUUUUCGAAACACACGUAGUUCAUGCAUUGGUAUCCCUUUUCGCGUGAUGAGAUCGAGGAAGGAGCCAACGAAAACGGACAGUUG